GAUGAACGCUGGCGGCGUGCCUAAUACAUGCAAGUCGAGCGAACGGACGAGAAGCUUGCUUCUCUGAUGUUAGCGGCGGACGGGUGAGUAACACGUGGAUAACCUACCUAUAAGACUGGGAUAACUUCGGGAAACCGGAGCCAAUACCGGAUAAUAUUUUGAACCGCAUGGUUCAAAAGUGAAAGACGGUCUUGCUGUCACUUAUAGAUGGAUCCGCGCUGCAUUAGCUAGUUGGUAAGGUAACGGCUUACCAAGGCAACGAUGCAUAGCCGACCUGAGAGGGUGAUCGGCCACACUGGAACUGAGACACGGUCCAGACUCCUACGGGAGGCAGCAGUAGGGAAUCUUCCGCAAUGGGCGAAAGCCUGACGGAGCAACGCCGCGUGAGUGAUGAAGGUCUUCGGAUCGUAAAACUCUGUUAUUAGGGAAGAACAUAUGUGUAAGUAACUGUGCACAUCUUGACGGUACCUAAUCAGAAAGCCACGGCUAACUACGUGCCAGCAGCCGCGGUAAUACGUAGGUGGCAAGCGUUAUCCGGAAUUAUUGGGCGUAAAGCGCGCGUAGGCGGUUUUUUAAGUCUGAUGUGAAAGCCCACGGCUCAACCGUGGAGGGUCAUUGGAAACUGGAAAACUUGAGUGCAGAAGAGGAAAGUGGAAUUCCAUGUGUAGCGGUGAAAUGCGCAGAGAUAUGGAGGAACACCAGUGGCGAAGGCGACUUUCUGGUCUGUAACUGACGCUGAUGUGCGAAAGCGUGGGGAUCAAACAGGAUUAGAUACCCUGGUAGUCCACGCCGUAAACGAUGAGUGCUAAGUGUUAGGGGGUUUCCGCCCCUUAGUGCUGCAGCUAACGCAUUAAGCACUCCGCCUGGGGAGUACGACCGCAAGGUUGAAACUCAAAGGAAUUGACGGGGACCCGCACAAGCGGUGGAGCAUGUGGUUUAAUUCGAAGCAACGCGAAGAACCUUACCAAAUCUUGACAUCCUUUGACAACUCUAGAGAUAGAGCUUUCCCCUUCGGGGGACAAAGUGACAGGUGGUGCAUGGUUGUCGUCAGCUCGUGUCGUGAGAUGUUGGGUUAAGUCCCGCAACGAGCGCAACCCUUAAGCUUAGUUGCCAUCAUUAAGUUGGGCACUCUAAGUUGACUGCCGGUGACAAACCGGAGGAAGGUGGGGAUGACGUCAAAUCAUCAUGCCCCUUAUGAUUUGGGCUACACACGUGCUACAAUGGACAAUACAAAGGGCAGCGAAACCGUGAGGUCAAGCAAAUCCCAUAAAGUUGUUCUCAGUUCGGAUUGUAGUCUGCAACUCGACUACAUGAAGCUGGAAUCGCUAGUAAUCGUAGAUCAGCAUGCUACGGUGAAUACGUUCCCGGGUCU
rnacentral:rRNA from 1 species